rnacentral:rRNA from 1 species
UACGGAGGGUGCAAGCGUUAUCCGGAUUCACUGGGUUUAAAGGGUGCGUAGGUGGGUCUGUAAGUCAGUGGUGAAAUCCCCGAGCUUAACUUGGGAACUGCCGUUGAUACUAUAGAUCUUGAAUAUCGUGGAGGUAAGCGGAAUAUGUCAUGUAGCGGUGAAAUGCUUAGAUAUGACAUAGAACACCAAUUGCGAAGGCAGCUUACUACACGAUCAUUGACACUGAGGCACGAAAGCGUGGGGAUCAAACAGG